UAUUUUUGUUUCUGAACCUCCACUGCUACUGUCUUGUUAUCUGUAAAUUGAGAACUUUAAAACGUUGAUGUUUUAGGAUUAAGCUGCUGCAGCUGUGGGUUGUGAUGGUUGAUGCUUUUUAAGAAUCGUUGCUGCUGGGGUAACUAAAAUUGCUAUUGCUAGUUCUAACAUUGCUACUGUUGCUGUUGACUUGCCCCAAUUCAAGUUCAGUGUCACUGCCCUAAAGUCGUUUUUGCGUUUGAUUCCAUCAAAUUCAAUGUUGCUGCGAGUGUAAUCGGAGUUGGUAAUGCCGCCAUCAUAUCUCAACUUGGCCAACAUCAUCCUCCUUGUUCUGAUUCCAAUUUCC